GCCCCCGUAGCUCAGUCGGUAGAGCACACCCUUGGUAAGGGUGAGGUCGGAGGUUCGAUUCCUCUCGUGGGCA
rnacentral:tRNA from 1 species